AUUGAACGCUGGCGGCAUGCCUUACACAUGCAAGUCGAACGGCAGCACGGGUGCUUGAACCUGGUGGCGAGUGGCGAACGGGUGAGUAAUACAUCGGAACGUACCUUAUCGUGGGGGAUAACGCAGCGAAAGCUGUGCUAAUACCGCAUACGCCCUGAGGGGGAAAGCGGGGGAUCGCAAGACCUCGCGCGAUUAGAGCGGCCGAUGCCUGAUUAGCUUGUUGGUGGGGUAAAAGCCCACCAAGGCGACGAUCAGUAGCUGGUCUGAGAGGACGAUCAGCCACACUGGGACUGAGACACGGCCCAGACUCCUACGGGAGGCAGCAGUGGGGAAUUUUGGACAAUGGGGGCAACCCUGAUCCAGCCAUUCCGCGUGAGUGAAGAAGGCCUUCGGGUUGUAAAGCUCUUUCGGCAGGGAAGAAACGGUUCUGGAUAAUACCCGGAGCUAAUGACGGUACCUGAAGAAGAAGCACCGGCUAACUACGUGCCAGCCGCCGCCGUAA
rnacentral:rRNA from 1 species